rnacentral:tRNA from 1 species
CGAGGAGUGGCUCGCGGCGACCGGGCUCGACGCCGACGCGGUCGUCGACGUCGAGGGCGUCGGGGCGGUGCCGUUCGGCACGGCUCUGCGCGAC